rnacentral:misc_RNA from 1 species
GAUGAAGAACGUAGCGAAAUGCGAUACGUAAUGUGAAUUGCAGAAUUCAGUGAAUCAUCGAGUCUUUGAACGCACAUUGCGCCCUCUGGUAUUCCGGAGGGCAUGCCUGUCCGAGCGUCAUUGCUGCCCUCCAGCCCGGCUGGUGUGUUGGGCCCCGUCCCCCUUCCCGGGGGGACGGGCCCGAAAGGCAGCGGCGGCACCGCGUCCGGUCCUCGAGCGUAUGGGGCUUUGUCACCCGCUCUUGUAGGCCCGGUCGGCGCCAGCCGACCCCCUCAAUCUAUUUUUCAGGUUGACCUCGGAUCAGGUAGGGAUACCCGCUGAACUUAAGCAUAUCAAUAAGCGGAGGA